rnacentral:rRNA from 1 species
GACGAACGCUGGCGGCGUGCUUAACACAUGCAAGUCGAGCGGUAAGGCCCUUUUGGGGGUACACGAGCGGCGAACGGGUGAGUAACACGUGGGUGACCUGCCCUCAGCUCUGGGAUAAGCCUGGGAAACUGGGUCUAAUACUGGAUAUGACCUUUCCUCGCAUGGGGUUGGGUGGAAAGUUUUUCGGCUGGGGAUGGGCCCGCGGCCUAUCAGCUUGUCGGUGGGGUGAUGGCCUACCAAGGCGACGACGGGUAGCCGGCCUGAGAGGGCGACCGGCCACACUGGGACUGAGACACGGCCCAGACUCCUACGGGAGGCAGCAGUGGGGAAUAUUGCGCAAUGGGCGGAAGCCUGACGCAGCGACGCCGCGUGGGGAUGAC